rnacentral:lncRNA from 1 species
UUUUUCAAGAACAAAGAGAUCAGCCACAUCCAAUGUUCCUGAUCCCUUCUCUCUCACCGUGAGAGAGAGAGAGAUGAAAAAGAGAAGAGAUGAGCGAUGCCCAACUAUGGGCACUAUUCUUGGAGAGUUAGGGUUGGACAACCAUAAUUUGUUGGACCCGUAUAGCUUUGAAUGGCCUUCCUAGCAUGACAAGGUCUACUCUCUCUUCUAUUUGAUCUACUCUAGCCUCCUCCCUUCUGUUGUCCUCUCCCUCUCCUAUAAUAUCCUUCCCCUCAUUCUCUCAUUCAAAAUAAAAGAAAAAAGAACCAUCUUUUCCUUUUUAUUAGUAUUCCCGUGGAGUUAGUAUUUUUCUAGUAUUUUAAAGCAAGAUAUCCUAUUUCUAGGGCAAUUGUGGUCAUACUAUGGUGCAUUAUUGUUAAAAAAUUUAAUUUUUACCAUUUCUCAUUAAUUUGGCAGGUCCAAUCAAGCCAUGUAGGGGCCAAUCGAGCCAAAAAUUAGGUCAACCAGAACAUAAGUCGGUCCAGUCUUUUGGCCUAAAAAGACUAAUUUGGGUCAAUGCAUUGAGUUUCUGAUGAGCUUGAGAUCAAGUCAGCAUUUUGAAAAAUCUCAGGCCUAAGCCUAGCCCUGAGCCCAAAAAAAAUUCAAGUUGGAUUCCAAUAGAAAUAUAGCCCAACCUAGUCUGACCCCGUUCUAGCCCUACAUUAAAUGAAUAAUUUGCAGGUUCACGGUUGUUUCAUGAAUUAAUCAUAAAACGGGAAUGAUUCAUGAUUAAUUCAAGGAAUCCUAAAUUGUUCAUUAGACAAAAAGAAGGUUUAUGGUGCCACAUGAGAUUCUAGGUAAUGAUAAAGGCAGGCCUAAGGCAUAUAGGGAAGAGUGAUUUGACAUGGGAGAUAUCUUUUAGAAGAUAUCUUUUAUAGAAGAAAAUAGGGGUGAAACUUUUUCGACUUCCCAACUUUUCUCUGUUGCCUUCAAGACUUCUCUUCCAAAAGUUUUUUUCUUCAAAAACAAAACAAAGAAGAUUAGAUAUCUUCCACUUAUUCUCAUUCAAAUAUAGGCCUACAAGUGGAUUGAUCUAUCUCCAAUCUGGCACUGAUCCGAAACCAAUUCAUUCCAACCAGCACCAAAAUUACCUGGAUUAGGUUUGGAUUUGAAAAAAUGACCUGUUCUUAAAAUGGAUUAGAUUUGGAUACUUAAAUUUCCAAUUUGAAACUGAACCAACCUAGACUGAUAGAAAAUUAGUAUACCAUAUAUUUCAAUACUCUGGUUUAAUAUAAGAAAUAUAAGUCUUCUUCUGAUGAUAUACUCAACUCAACUAAGUCUUAAUCCCAAUCUAGUUUGGGUCGACUAUAUGAAUCCUUUUCUUGUGAAUAAUGAAUCCAAAAUAUUAAAAAUGAUCAAUCCUAUGAACUUUAUAAUCCAUAACUUUUGCUUCACUUUCAUUUGUAUUUCUAAUUUUAUUAAAACUAUAUUCCAUGUAUUCUAUCUUGGUCCUACCUAACUUAUAACUCUUAAAUUUUAGUGCACACCUAUAUAAUUGCAAUUUACGAUUACCUCAAACUUUAGUUUCAUUCACCAAGACUAUAACAUCUGCAAAUAGUACGCGCUAAGGAAUAUUAUCGUAAAUAUGCCCAAUAGGUUCAUCCACAACGAGCGCAAAAAGGAGGGGGUUUAGAGUAGAACCUUGGUGUAAACCUAUUAUGAUGGAAAACUUACUUAUUAUUAUCCAUAAUUCUCAUACUAGUAACCACUCUAUUAUUCAUAUCUUUAAUCAUAUUAACAUAACCAAUGAAAGCUUCUUUCUUUUUCUAAUACGCACCAUAAGACUUCUCUGGAAACUCUAUUAUAUGCUUUCUCUAUAUUAAUAAAAAUUGUAUAAAGAUCUUAUAUCUUUUCUCUAUAUUUAUCUAUUAACCUUCAAAGAAGAAAAAUGACUUCUAUAGUCAAACUUUCUAGCUUCAAAUCAAAUUAAUUCUCUCAUAUUUUUCUAUCACAUCUUGAUCUUUGCUCAAACACCCUCUCCCAAAGUUUUAUUCUAUAAUGCAUGAGUUUAAUACCACGAUAGUUAAAAUAAUUUUGAAUAUCACCUUUAUCUUUAUAAAUUAAUACUAUAAUAUUCUUCCUCCAUUCAUCAGAUGUCUUCUUAAUAUUUAAAAUUUUAUUAAAUAAAUUAGACGUUUCAUCAGGUCCAACCGCUUUCUCUAUUUUCAUCUUUUAUAUUGCCUCCUUUAUCUCAGAUAUUCAAUUUUACAUGCAUACUUAAUAUUUCUAUCCUCAAUGGAACUAGUAAGACAUCCUAAAUAUUUUAUAUGACUUUAUUGAAUAGCUUAUAAAAAUAGUACCUCUCCAUCCUUCUUUAAUCCCGUCCUCCUUAAUCAAAACUUUUUAAUUUUUGUCAUUGAUGCAUUUAACCUAAUCAAAUCUCUAGUUUUUCUUUUCUCUUAGUCUGUAAUCUUAGAAAUAUCUUUUUCUCUAUUCUUAGCUUCUAACUUGUGAUAUAAUACUUCAUAUGCUUUGAAUCUAGCCUCUCGUACUAUCUUCUUAACUUACUUAUUUGCCACCUUAUAGCUUUUAUAUAUUUCUCUAUUCUUAUAUUUUGGUUGUCUUCUAUAGUACUCUUUUUAGUCUUCUAAUAAUUUGUUAAUAAUUUAUAUCAUUGAUUAUAAUUAUGAAAAUCCUACUUAAAAUAUGUUUGAUAAUGUUUUCAUGUGGCUUGCUAUUAUUUUAUUGCAUAAGAUAUUUAUGAUAUAAUUAGAUAAUGAAUUUGUAUGUAUUUAUUAUGAUUUGUCUUUGAACUAUUUUUGACUUGAUUUGAUAUGAAAAGUCUGAUGGAUUUAUACAAUUACUAUUAAAUCUAACCUGAUCGAACUCGAAGGGAAUUGGAUUAUGUUUAGGUUUAUUUUUUGACCUGAUUUGAAUAUGCAUUGGGUAUGGGUUGUUCCUAUCCCCAAUCCUACCCGUCUUGCUUG